CACAAAGGUAACCUAGCAAAAUCCUGAGCUGGAGGAGAACUGCAGAACACUUGGGGAGAGGAAGGGCUGCCUUCUGCUGGAAGGGCAGGGGGAGAUGUAGGAGGCACCGGUGACAAAUUGCUGGGGCUCAGGUUCUGAGGUGGGGACGCUCUGGUCACUCUGACCCAGCCUGACAUCAUCCCUGCCCGGCCCCAUCCCACCCUGGCACACCAGGCACUCAUGGAGGAGUAAGGAGCUGGUGUUUGCUCAUCUGAAAGGAUUCCUCCACUGGAAAUGGGAAGGGGCAUUUCCCUGAAUCCCUGAAAGCUUUUCCCCCGAGUGCCUGCAGCAGCAGGGCUGUGGGAUGCCACAAAGCCCCGGCUGAGGGAUGGCGGGCACAGGCCCAGAGCCAGAUCAGCUUCAUGUCGAGGGCCCGGCUGAACGCGGUACAGCAGCUUGGGGCAGGGGUACAGUGUUGGCAUGUGGGAGUGUAGGAGCAGUGGAGGCAGGGCCUGGCUGAACACAGAACAAGAAACACGGGGUACAGCAACUUGGGACAGAGCUACAAGGAGCUGUUCUGCAUCCGUGGAGUUGAAAGGGUUUAUGGCUCAUAAAAAGAACUGACAAGCUGUAUUUCAUGAGGAUUAGGCCACAUGCCAAACCCUCCACAGGCUCACAGCUGAGCAGGGGAGGGCAAUGCCCAACUUCAGGAUGCUCUGGCAGCUGUGCCCUGGCCAGAGGCAGGAAAAGGAGAUUGCCACCUGCACUGAAACCUGGAGCUGUGACAUGUGGAUGUCUUGAGCAGUGAUGCUAAAAGUGUAACUUGUGGUCCUUAAAACCCAAUGAAGUACAUGGGACAGCUGAAGCAGAGGUUUCUCUUGUUCCAUGCAUAACAACGUGGGCUAGGAACAGGUUUAUCAAUACCAGCAACAGCACUGCUGCAUGUUCAUUAAUAUUUCUAGUCAAAGCUAUGUAUCUAUCCCAUAAACUCAUGGAAAGUUUCAGCUUUGUAGCAAGGGGCAGAGAAAUAAAAUCAUGAAGAAUGUUUUGGAUUUGGCA
rnacentral:lncRNA from 1 species